GAUGAACGCUGGCGGCGUGCCUAAUACAUGCAAGUCGAGCGAACAGAUGAGGAGCUUGCUCCUCUGACGUUAGCGGCGGACGGGUGAGUAACACGUGGAUAACCUACCUAUAAGACUGGGAUAACUUCGGGAAACCGGAGCUAAUACCGGAUAAUAUAUUGAACCGCAUGGUUCAAUAGUGAAAGACGGUUUUGCUGUCACUUAUAGAUGGAUCCGCGCCGCAUUAGCUAGUUGGUAAGGUAACGGCUUACCAAGGCAACGAGGCGUAGCCGACCUGAGAGGGGGAUCGGCCACACUGGAACUGAGACACGGUCCAGACUCCUACGGGAGGCAGCAGUAGGGAAUCUUCCGCAAUGGGCGAAAGCCUGACGGAGCAACGCCGCGUGAGUGAUGAAGGUCUUCGGAUCGUAAAACUCUGUUAUUAGGGAAGAACAAAUGUGUAAGUAACUAUGCACGUCUUGACGGUACCUAAUCAGAAAGCCACGGCUAACUACGUG
rnacentral:rRNA from 1 species